UCUAGGCCUGGAUGAAUGAACGGAUAUGUAUUGGAUGGAUGGAUGUACAGGCCUAUUGUCACUAAAAUGAUAUGUAGCCCAGCUGGAAAACUAGGUUCACCACUAAGGCCACCAGAGGGCGCUGUACUACUGAGACAGCUAGCGAAAUGUGACGAGGGAAACAGGAAGUGAAGUUCGUUCUUUUGCAUGUGACUGUCCUGUGGAGCGGUGGAUGUUUUAAAGAAACCAUCCGUACACAUUGUGAAAUGAACGAAUGCAGGACCAGCCCGAAAGAUCUCUGAGGUUUCCACUAAGUGGCAGAUAAAGAAGAAAAUGUUCUGUCAUCUCCCUGGCUUCCUUUCUCACUCUGUGUACAAGCUGAGCAUCUCUGAGCGGUGAGAGGAGGUUUCUAUGGCGACGUGAAAAGGUCACCUUCAGCAAGUUCCCUCUGAGCGUGUGCAGAAUGCCAGUCGGAUAAUUAGGCUUCCUGUAAUGACUGAUAACAGACCACACCUCAUUAGAGACAGAGGGAGAGAUUGGCU
ensembl:lncRNA